UAGGGAAUCUUCGGCAAUGGGGGGAACCCUGACCGAGCAACGCCGCGUGAGUGAAGAAGGUUUUCGGAUCGUAAAGCUCUGUUGUUAAGGAAGAACGAGUGUGAGAAUGGAAAGUUCAUGCUGUGACGGUACUUAACCAGAAAGGGACGGCUAACUACGUGCCAGCAGCCGCGGUAAUACGUAGGUCCCGAGCGUUGUCCGGAAUUAUUGGGCGUAAAGAGCUUGUAGGCGGUUCGUCGCGUCUGGUGUGAAAGCCCAUCGCUUAACGGUGGGUUUGCGCCGGGUACGGGCGGGCUAGAGUGCAGUAGGGGAGACUGGAAUUCCCGGUGUAACGGUGGAAUGUGUAGAUAUCGGGAAGAACACCAAUGGCGAAGGCAGGUCUCUGGGCUGUUACUGACGCUGAGAAGCGAAAGCGUGGGGAGCGAACAGG
rnacentral:rRNA from 1 species